UAACCGCUCGCGGCCCGGUGCGAUAACGCAGACGCCCGGAGCCCGCCCGGCCGCGCCGGUCACGCGUUUAUUUCAGGAAGGUGGGGCCGUGUUUGCUGUUUUCAUUCUAAAUGACACGGGUUUGAAGGUGGGCUUGGAGAAGGGAAGGCUCCUUAAGGGGAGACCUUAAGCAGCUCCAGUGCCUAAAGGGGCUGCAGGAAACCUGGAGAGGGGCUUGGGACAAGGGCCUGUAGGGACAGGCCAAGGGAAAUGGCUUUAACCUGCCAGAGGGGAGACUGAGAUGAGCUCUUAGGCAGAAGCUCUUCCCUGUGAGGGUGCUGAGGCACUGGCACAGCGUGCCCCGAGAAGCUGUGGCUGCCCCAUCCCUGGCAGUGCUCAAGGCCAGGUUGGACACAGGGGCUUGGGGCAAGCUGCUCUAGUGGAAGGUGUCCCUGCCCGGUGGAGUGGAAACCUCAGUAAAUCCUGCACCUCUGCAGGUGACCAGAGCACACAGGACCGGAGCCCUUCAGCCAGCAGCAGCAGUUAGUACAGGUACAGGGGAAUUGCAGAGCAGCUGUGACUGACCAGGGUUUGAGAGGCAAAGGUUAAAACACAGAAGCAAGCCGAGGUCUCGGAGCACUUCAGCAGCUGUGUUAAUGGGGAAGCAGCGCGGAGGAGAUGCUGGAUUCAGAGCUGAAGUGAAGGCAGAGGCUGGAGAACUGCCGCAGAGCUGCAGCUGUGCUCUGCGCUGCAGGAUGGGGCAUUGCUGCGUGUGGGAUGGGGUCCCAAAAACCCCUCUGUGGACACUCAGUGACUUGUUAAAGGACUUCAUUAGUUAAAGAAAUGCUGUUUGAUGACAUUACCCUGCGUAUAAAGGGCAAGCAGGGAGGUUUGCUGCUGCAUGGGAUGCGGUGGCAGCUCAGACCUAAGCUCACCGUGCCAGCAAGGCCAGUAGCCAAGCACUGCUGGGACUCUGCAGAUGGUCAGAUUUGGGUGCACUCAAUGAUUUCAGUCACUUCAAGCUGCAGAAGCACAUGAAGCAAUUCUUUACUUCCAGCUUUUGCUAUAGUUUUACUGUCCCCUGGCCAUGUCCAUUCCCUACAAGCCAGAGGCACAGGGCACUUGCAGACUGCCUUGCUUGAGGCUUUCCCAUCCCACCCAUGGUGGGUACUGCAAAAGUCCAGCAUCAAGAAGAACUGGAUCUUGAAAUACAUGGCUAGCCCCAGUAUAAACAGGAAAAAGAAACCCAUUAACUACUCACUGCUGGCCCUAGGAUCCUAUAUAUGUGAUAAACUCUAAUAGGGGAUGAAGAACCCUGCAUCAGAGGUCUCCACCCUGGAACUAAGCUUUUAAGAGCAGGGAAGCCCAUCAACCGAGAAGCACAUACAGCAUCACACCAACAUCACCCUGGGGAGCCUGGGUACAAACCCCAUGGAGCAGCCUGACCCUGGCAGCUUGGAAAACAACUGAUGGUGACCAGAGCAAACCCCAUCCCGCCUGGCCGGAGCAGCAGGGGGACACACGGAGCCGAACCCGCUCGCCCAGGAGCACCCCAGCAGGAGGAGAUGCUGAUACACACCUGCACGGGCCGCACCAGUCCGUUUGUUGGUUGAGGCCAAAGCGAGCUCUGCAUUUCUUAGGAGAGGCAGGAUCUGAACACAGAAGCAUGCGUGGCGGAGAAUGGGCAAGGCAGAGGCACAAAGAGGAGGAGGAGCAGGAGGAAGAAAAGAGGCAACAUCAUUUUAGCCACUUGAACACACGAGUCACAGACUACAACCCAUGUUCCUGUAACAGAAUGGAGCCAGCACCAACCUCUCCUGGAAAAAAGGGAUUGUUAGGCAGUAUCAGUGAUCAGUGCUGGCAGCUGGGGAAGGUUUGGGAAAUGGCUUCAGCUGUGGGAAUAUGGGCAAUUGCAGGCUCUUCACAUUUCUUAAGGCUGGAAAAGCUUCCAGAUCCCAGAGGUGUUCCCUGCCCCCUGCGUUUGCAUCCUUACCUGCUCCCUGCCUUUCCAGCAGUGACUAAAUGGGGCUGCCAGUGAGCUCAGACUGUGCAUGGAAAAGAAGAGGAGGAAACAUUGCAGAAGCAGGCUGAAAGCAGAGUUAGCGCCAAGGAGACCCAGACAUGGGUUAUUCUACUGCUCUGCCCCCCACCACUCCUCUUCCAGUUUUAAUGGAAAAGCUAUUUUCCAUGGCCUUUCCUAAGGUGUGGCAGUUUUACUGUAUAAUUAUAGGGCUCAUCAUGGUUUUCUCUAGUGCUGUAAAUGGGAUUUGAUCAGCACGUCAGUGAUCAUUUGAUCAGUGCUGGACUCACGCUCCCUCUUACAGCUACCACCAGUGUCCUGCUGUGUACAGCCAGCAGCUGGGUUUCAAUCCACAACAGGUGAAAUGAUCAUUUCACAGGCAAGACAUAGAGAUGGAUACUACCCAUGUUCUCAUUCAAAGUUCUCUAUGGAAAAGUCACAGAAAUGUUCAUUUGCUGCAUCUUAAAAACUAAAUACAUGUGUAUUUCUUUA